rnacentral:lncRNA from 1 species
CACACAUUGAGUGGCUUAACACAACACAAGUUUCUCAUUUUAUGGCUGUGUAAGUCAGAACUCCAUUGGACUACUAACAAGGGGUUGGCAGGGCUGCACUCCUUUAGGAUACUUUAAAGGAGAAUCUAUUUUAUUGCAUUUCCCAGCUUUUAAAGGCUGCCUGCAUUCUGUGGUUCAAGGUUCCAUCUUCAAUCUCCAAAGCCAGCAGUGGAGCACCUUCAAAUCUCACUGUGACCCUGAUGUUGUCAUCUCAUCUCUGACUCUCCUGCCUAUUCCCUUUUAGGGUCUUGUAGAUGAUACUGUACCUGGAGGGAGUCUGCCUGCCCUGCCCCUGCAGGAGGUUGAAGCAUGGCACACCAUGCCUCCCAGGAAGGACCCCACAACCUGACUACUGGCAGGCAGCAGGAGCCCCAGGCACUUUUCUCCACCUCUGCUCCCUGUUAAAGGGCCCUGUAAUUGCCAAUCAGAUAAAUGGCUCCUGGGUGUAGCCCAGGCCCAUUAAGGCCACCUGGAGGGUCUGGACUGUGGCAUAGUGGGUGAGGCCGCCACCUGCAGUAACAGCAUCCCAUUUGGUUGCCAGUUCUAGUCCCAGCUGCUCCACUUCUGAUCCAACUCUCUGCUAUGGCCUGGGAAAGUAGUAGAAGAUGGCCCAAGUCCUUGGGUCCCAGCACCCACAUGGGAGACCCAGAAGAUCCUGGCUCCUGGCUUCAGAUUGGCGCAGCUCCAUCGUUUGCAGCCAACAGGAAGUGAACCAGCGGAUGGAAGCCCUAUCAUCCUGGAAGUAUGGGAGCCUCACUGGUCAAGCCUGCAAUUGGCACCUGAACAGGGACCUGAACUGUAAGCUUCCUGAUCUACCAUCUGGAAGAUUCUUCCUUGCCUCUUAUCCAUGGCCACGUGUGAAGUGAGCACUGGGAAAUAUGAUCUCCCUGGAAGCUAUACAGUGGAACAGAAUUGUGUUUCUUUUAGGCCCAGUAAAUAACAUUUCCUAAUAGAUUCCUCCAAGUUCUUCACCCCUUUAUGUGAGCUUUAAUGGCAACUCUGAAGAGUUAAUAAGUGACAGUCUUCAUGAAUCCUAUUGUUCAGUAGCCUUUGAUGGAACAACAAGCCUGGGUCUCUCUGUGACCAGGGAUAAGGGUGGUCAUUGUUCAUCACCCUGGAACAUUUGAAAUUGACUUUUAC